GCCCGGAUGGCGAAACUGGUAGACGCAAGGGACUUAAAAUCCCUCAGUCGCAAGGCUAUGCGGGUUCGAUCCCCGCUCCGGGCACCA
rnacentral:tRNA from 1 species